CCGAGGUUUUCUGGAUACAUU
rnacentral:miRNA from 1 species